rnacentral:rRNA from 1 species
UACGAAGGGGGCUAGCGUUGCUCGGAUUGACUGGGCGUAAAGGGCGCGUAGGCGGAUAGUACAGUCAGGCGUGAAAUUCCUGGGCUCAACCUGGGGGCUGCGUUUGAUACGUAUUGUCUGGAGUUCGGAAGAGGGUCGUGGAAUUCCCAGUGUAGAGGUGAAAUUCGUAGAUAUUGGGAAGAACACCGGUGGCGAAGGCGGCGACCUGGUCCUUUACUGACGCUGAGGCGCGAAAGCGUGGGGAGCAAACAGG